AUUGAACGCUAGCGGGAUGCCUUACACAUGCAAGUCGAACGGAGUGGCGAACGGGUGAGUAAUGUAUCGGAACGUGCCCAGUAGAGGGGGAUAACUACGCGAAAGCGUAGCUAAUACCGCAUAAUAUUGUAGCGGCCGUUCUCGGAUUAGCUAGUUGGUUGGGUAAAGGCUCACCAAGGCGACGAUCCGUAGCUUGUUUGAGAGGACGACCAGCCACACUGGGACUGAGACACGGCCCAGACUCGUACGGGAGGCAGCAGUGGGGAAUUUUGUACAAUGGUGGAAACCCUGAUCCAGACAUCCCGCGUGUGCGAUGAAGGCCUGCGGGUUGUAAAGCACUUUUGGCAUGAAAGCGGUACCUGAAGAAUAAGCACCGGCUAACUACGUGCCAGCAGCCGCGGUAAUUC
rnacentral:rRNA from 1 species